rnacentral:rRNA from 1 species
CAGUAGCCGCGGGAAAACGUAGGUGGCAAGCGUUGUCCGGAAUUAUUGGGCGUAAAGGGCUCGCAGGCGGUUUCUUAAGUCUGAUGUGAAAGCCCCCGGCUCAACCGGGGAGGGUCAUUGGAAACUGGGAAACUUGAGUGCAGAAGAGGAGAGUGGAAUUCCACGUGUAGCGGUGAAAUGCGUAGAGAUGUGGAGGAACACCAGUGGCGAAGGCGACUCUCUGGUCUGUAACUGACGCUGAGGAGCGAAAGCGUGGGGAGCGAACGGGAUUAGAUACCCGGGUAGUCCCUGUCUCUUAUAC